UCUAAACGACUCUCGGCAACGGAUAUCUCGGCUCUCGCAUCGAUGAAGAACGUAGCGAAAUGCGAUACUUGGUGUGAAUUGCAGAAUCCCGUGAACCAUCGAGUCUUUGAACGCAAGUUGCGCCCGAAGCCUUUCGGCCGAGGGCACGCCUGCCUGGGCGUCAC
rnacentral:rRNA from 2 species